UUAUAUACGAAGAACAUCGAAACAGAUUGUUAGGUGCAAAAGCGGCCAAAUUACUUUUCAUAAAAUAUAACUUACCACUACUAAAUUUUUAAUAUUAAAUAAUUUUAAGUUGCAAUAUUGUUUUCUAUUGUAGAUUUCUAAUAUAUCUAUUUCUUAUUUAGGCUUGGUGUGUAUUUAAUACUUAAUAAAGGAAUAUAUUUGUAUUUUUUUUUUCAUAUUAUUUACACUUUCGUUUCUGCAUCCGUUUCCGUUUCCGUUUCUGCUAAAAUUUACUAUUAACAUCUGUUUCCGUUAAGACACUUUCGUUGCAUCACUAACACACAGCUGUCGGCUUUAAUGCGUAUAGUUGGCAAAUUGUUAUAGUUGACCAAUCUUGCAAUUAAUAAAUUACAAGUGAUACUUUCUGCUUACUGCGUCUGUAGAGUUCAAUUAAAAAGAAUCUUUCACUACAUUACUAUUGUGAGACUUAUUUUUAGGGAUAUUUAAUUAUACACCUUAAUUGCAUCAACACGUACAUCUGGUAUAAGAGCGUACUACAAAUAUUAUAAUUUCUUAAGAAACCUGUCAAUAUUGUGAAAUUAACAUUAUAACAUUUUAAAAAAUC